CAGCUGCAGCAGUUCACAUGAUUUUACCCUCAAAACCAAAGAGCAGAGAAGAUUUCCUGCAGUAUUAUCAGAGAAAGGUUCUGAUGCGCGUAGAUGAAAUUGUGCAGAAUUAUCUGCUCGCACUGCUGUGGCUGCAACAACUAAGGAGACAACUACUGUACCAACCCACCAUUCAUCUGAUUCGGAAACCAGAGACAGCUGUUAGCUCUUUCACUGCUAGAAUUUCUAUUAUUGAAUACUGGUUCACCAUUAAAUAUUUUCUAGAGCCAGAACAACUGUGGGUGGUAAAAGAGAGCAACUGGACUUGCUUGAAGAUUCUUGAAGACGUUUCACCUCUCAUCCGAAAGGCUUCUUCAGUUCUGUCUGACUAGUAGGGAGUAUCAGGUAUUUAUCCUUUCAUGGAUGAAAAGCUCAUCUAAGGUGUCAUUGAGUCAUCCUGUUGGUGUGGGUCACUGGGGACUGGAUGUGAACGGCCUCGAGAGACUUUAGGGUGAUCAAUGGAUUGCCCGUUAAGGUGAUCAAUGGAAUGCUGAUUCUCUCUGUCCUCCUGUGUGUCACUGAGGUGGGGUUUACAUUAGACCGUAUCAGCGGAUCAUCAGAUUAAUGUUUUUAAAACGAUUAGUGUGCACACAGCAACGCCAAUACACGAUUCGCGUGCACAUAGCAACGCCAAUACACGGAUACGCUCGGCUCCGCAGGCAUCCUGCGCUCCAAAUCACUCCGCCCUGAACAGCGAGUGCCCUCUGGAGGGUGCGCACUCCGGCCCUGCGCAGCUCACAGAGCGCGCGAGUGGAGCGCACAAGCAGUGAUUUGGGACUGAGCCACUGUGUGUGUGAUCUCAGUGCAUGUCGGGCAUGCGCGUCACUUACCACUUGCAAGUGGAAGGAUGGCAAGCCUAAAGACAAUCAUAAUUACACAAUGGGCAGUAUUUGCAUCAGUAUUUGCAGUAUUUUCAUACUUUUAUACUCUUUAAUGAAAGGUGAUACAAGGCGGAAGUCCGCGCCGUUUUUCAGCAGUCGCGUCACAUGACCAACGCCAGCGAAUCAGAAAGGUGGAUGUCACAGUGAUGUUGUCCAAUGACGAUGCCAGCUAGAGCUCAGCACAGCGUAUCCGCGUAUUCUCAAUGUUUAAACAGCACCGGACCAGACAGGAUCUAGAUUGAAUACGUGGACCCUGGCGGAUUCCUGUUUCCCGGCGUUUCCAGGCGUUUUAAUGUAAAUGGACAGUGCAUCCGCGAAGAAAACGAGACAGAUACAGUCUAAUGUAAACUUGGCCUGAGGCCCUGUCCACACGGCAACAGAUUCAGGUGAAUCUGAUAAAAUUGUUUAUCGUUUCGGCCUGGCGUCCACACGGCACCGGUGUUUUGGGUGCCCCAAAACGAAAUCUUUUGAGAACGGGUUCCAGAGUGGAAAGAUCUGGCAAUGGCGCCAUUGCGAAGUCGUCUGGAUGAGUAGAACGGAUUUGUUUACGAUGACGUCACAGCCACAUGACUGUGACUGCUUCAUGCUGGGCAUAGACAUAUAAACAUAGAUGCCGCCUUCCGCGUAGAAUCAUAUGUCAUCCUCGCCGCCAUAUUGGAUGUGGCAAAGUGGAGAAUAAAGAUGCCUCAUUCAUGUGCUGUGUUUAACUGUACCAACAGGUUUACCGUCCAAACGAGAUCACAUGGGAUUACCUUUCACAGGUGAGACUGGAAAAAUACUUUUCAUUGUAUUUGGUCAUUAUAACGUAAUUUUACGAACAGAUUUUUCUGACUUUGGGCUAAUAUGAAGUCUUGCGCAUAAUAGCCGCUUGGUGAAACCUGUCUCCAAACAAUUUAUAAUUUAUAAAUAAAUUUAUAAUUUAUUUCAUAGCCCACCCAACCAAUUUCACCACCAGCUGUCAGAUGGUGAUGGCACACUCAAAAAUAGAAGAGAUUGGAAGCAUGUCAGACUGUGAAGCAAUCACAUUGAGCAAUCCCAUUGUAAUAUGGUUUAAUUGAAUUUUUUUGCAUAUAGCACUGUAUAUUGCAAAAUUUGUUUUUGGAGACAUUUUAUAGCCUAUCUGCAUGGCAUUUAAUGAAAGUGAUGCAGAGACGGCACGGCACGGCUUCAGCAGCGUAAGCACAGCACAUUAUUCUACACGAUCCCCACUCAAGUUUCCAUCAAUGAAGAGUUAUAACAUCAACGAAACUGUCCUCAUGUUAAAACUGUUAAUGUUAUAGUCAUGCUGUCUGUUGUUGCCCAAAUGAGGAUGGGUUCCCUUUUGAGUCUGGUUCCUCUCGAGGUUUCUUCCUCAUGUCGUCUGAGGGAGUGUUUCCUUGCCACCAUCGCCAUAGGCUUGCUCAUUGGGGAUAGAUUAGGGAUAAAAUUAGCUCAUGUUUUAAGUCGUUCAAAUUCUGUAAAGCUGCUUUGCGACAAUGUUUAUUGUUAAAAGCGCUAUACAAAUAAACUUGACUUGACUUGACUGAGCUCCAAAACAUGCCUUGAUGUGUAGAUAUCGUUAGUAGCCUACGAUAGUAGCAGCGGAAUAAAAAAAAAAAAAACAAGUUUCCAAUAGCUUGAUUCCGGUAUAGGCCUGCUGCAUGUUGAGGAAAAUAGGUCACACCUCCCACGGAAUAUUGACGGGUAUUUCGCACACUAUUUAUAACCAUCACAUUAAAAGUUAUAUAUGUUGUUUUGAUGCCUGUUUGUUUCCCAAAUAUAUAUGUGUGUGUCUUAAUGGGUGAAUAAAAGGCAUCGAGUUAAACAUUAUUGUAGAAAGGGGCUUUAUGAAGUUCAGUCCAUUUACUUGCAUUGGUUUACGGGGAAGAUUUGCCACAUCCAAAAUGGUGGACACUCUGACGUAUCCCAGCAACGGGCCACCAGGCUCAAUGCGGCGCCUAUGUUUAUAUGUCUAUGACGCCGGGUAGAAGAAGGGGUUUAUGCGCAUACGUCGUACUUCUUCUAUUGUUCUGGUGUCUCCGAUGGGAUCGUCUUACAGCGCACGUAGAGGUGUGGCAUGUGUAUUGCAUCGUUUUCAGCAAGCGUUGCAUUGCCAUAUGUACCUGAUAUUUUACUGAUCCAUUGCCCAUGUGGACGCAAUAUUUAAAAAAAAAAAAUCUCAUUGCCGUUGUCAUGUGGAUGUAGCCUGAAAACAGCUGGGUUUUGGUGUGCAUUCAGUUGUCUGGGAAGUGUGCCAAGGACUGCAUUGUAGGUGGCUGAUAAAUGAUGUCUUAGACCCCCACCUCUGUUCAGUGAUGGCCGUUCCAGGUUGACAAAAAUGGCUUCUUUAACUCCUCGCUCAUACAAAUGAGCCUCUCUGGCUAAAAUGCGUACGUUGCAAUCCUGAAAUGAGUGUCUUUUGUUGUUGAGAUGAAGGUAGACAGCAGAGUCCUGGCCUGAGGAACUGGCUCUCCUCUGUUGAGCCAUACGCCUGUGAAGCAGUUGUUUUGUUUCCCCAAUAUAUGAAUCUGUGCAUUCCUCACUGCACUGAAUUGCAUAUACUAUGUUGUCCUGUUUGUGUCUGGCUAUUCUGUCCUUAGGGUGGACCAGUUUCUGCUUCAGGGUGUUACUGGGUCUGAAAUGUACCGGAAUGUUGUGGUUGUAGAAGAUCCUCCUGAGUUUCUCAGAUAGACCAGAAAUGUAGGGAAUGACAAUGUUCUUGCAUUUGUUCCUGUUAUCCUCCUUGUCCGUUAUGUUCCUUUUUCUGCUCUUGAAGAAAGACCAGUUGGGAUACCCGCAGUUCUGAAGUGCUUUCUUGAUGUGAUUCUGCUCCUUCUCUUUUCCCUCUACCAUUGUAGGGAUGUUCUGAGCCCUGUGUUGCAAGGUCCUAAUGACCCCCAAUUUGUGUUCCAGUGGGUGGUGAGAGUCGAAGAGUAGGUACUGGUCUGUGUGUGGGGGUUUCCGGUGGACCUCGAUGCUAAGGCUUCUGUCUUGUCUAAUGUGUACAUCACAAUCCAAGAAGGCUAGAUUAUUCCCACUGACAUCCUCCCGAGUGAAAUUGAUGUUGAUAUCCACUGCAUUGAUGUGCUUAGAGAAGGAUUCCACUUUAUGGGUUUUGAUUUUAACCCAGGUGUCAUCCACAUAUCUGAACCAGUGGCUGGGAGCAACUCCUGAAAAAGUGGUCAAAGCUUUAUGUUCCACUUCCUCCAUGUAAAGAUUGGCCACAAUAGGGGACACCGGUGAGCCCAUGGCACAUCCAUGCUUCUGUCUGUAGAAACUUUCAUUAAACUGGAAAUAAGUGGUAAUGUGAAACUACAACUACCUGUUAUGUUUGUCAAUUUUACUAGUACACGCGGUUUUAUAUAUAUAUUGUUCACAUUUCUAACCUAACCUGGCUGAUGCAGCUAUUUUUUUUGUUGAAAUAAAAGCACCAACUAUGCAAAA